CCUACGGGAGGCAGCAGUGGGGAAUCUUGCGCAAUGGGCGAAAGCCUGACGCAGCAACGCCGCGUGCGGGAAGAAGGCCUUCGGGUUGUAAACCGCUUUCAGCAGGAACGAAAAUGACGGUACCUGCAGAAGAAGGUGCGGCCAACUAUGUGCCAGCAGCCGCGGUGAUACAUAGGCACCAAGCGUUGUCCGGAUUUAUUGGGCGUAAAGAGCUCGUAGGCGGUUCAGUCAGUCGGGUGUGAAAACUCUGGGCUUAACCCAGAGCCUGCACCCGAUACUGCUGUGACUAGAGUUCGGUAGGGGAGCGGGGAAUUCCUGGUGUAGCGGUGAAAUGCGCAGAUAUCAGGAGGAACACCGAUGGCGAAGGCACCGCUCUGGGCCGAAACUGACGCUGAGGAGCGAAAGCAUGGGUAGCAAACAGGAUUAGAUACCCUGGUAGUCCAUGCCGUAAACGUUGGGCACUAGGUGUGGGUUCCAAUCAACGGAAUCCGCGCCGCCGCUAACGCAUUAAGUGCCCCGCCUGGGGNGGUACGGUCGCGAGACUAAACUUAAAGUAAGUUAGACGGCGUGAGACGUGCCGAACGGACGACGACGAGGGAGGUAGG
rnacentral:rRNA from 1 species